UACGUAGGGUGCGAGCGUUGUCCGGAAUUAUUGGGCGUAAAGAGCUCGUGGGCGGUCUGUCGCGUCUGCUGUGAAAACUCGGGGCUUAACCCCGGGCCUGCAGUGGGUACGGGCAGACUAGAGUGCGGUAGGGGAGACUGGAAUUCCUGGUGUAGCGGUGAAAUGCGCAGAUAUCAGGAGGAACACCGGUGGCGAAGGCGGGUCUCUGGGCCGUAACUGACGCUGAGGAGCGAAAGCAUGGGGAGCGAACAGG
rnacentral:rRNA from 1 species